rnacentral:tRNA from 1 species
CAGGGAGACAACAAAAUGUUUAAUAUUAUUUUGUCACCUUAGGUCGAUCGGUAUCUCACAUUCUUAAUUUAUUAAGGAUUUUAUUUCCUAAGUUUUUCUAGGUCACACCCAUUAUUUUUCCUGGGCCAUUAGCUCAGGUGGUUAGAGCGCACCCCUGAUAAGGGUGAGGUCCCUGGUUCAAGUCCAGGAUGGCCCAUAUCUCUAUGUUGGGGGUAUAGCUCAGUUGGUAGAGCGCCUGCUUUGCAAGCAGGAUGUCAGCGGUUCGAGUCCGCUUACCUCCACUGAUUACCACCUCUUUCAUAAUAGAAAGGGAAAUAUUUUGAGUUGUGAUCAAAUUCUGAACGAAUCUAGCUUCCUAAUGAAAUCAUUAAGAUGCUGGACUCAUUGAAUUAAAUUCAUUGUUUUCAGAGAACCUUGACAACUGCAUAGAUUAUUUUUAAAGACAAUAAGCAUCUUUAAUGAUGCAGAUUUAUUAUUUGUGCGAAUGCAUUAAUAACAAUUCUAUUAAGCUGAUGCUUCAA